ACCAAAUACAUUUAUAUGAGUUGGGGUUGAGUCCCAUCAAUACAAAUACACUAGCCAAGUCAUGUUUUGACACUAACUUCCCAUCUCAACGCCUUCAACUACCUUGUACCGGAUUAAGAAGAUUCCAAGAAUCAGAUAACAUUAAACUCGGAAAAGCAAAAAUGGAGAAAACUAUCUUCCUGAMUGUGUUGGUACUUUGUGUUACUUUUGUCUUUGCGGACAAAGCUGCAGAAGUGUCUUUGAAUCCCCGAGCCAUGUCAUGUCAUUGUACUUCAGUCAAUAAGGACAAGACUGGGGACUACUGGUUUGCGAAAUCUCUUUGCCCGCGUUCGAGCUAUCGCUAUACCAGUAGUUGUUCUGUAACUCUCGGCAUUUGUUGCUUUCCGGGUGGACAGUGAAUCACCCAGACGCUCUAAAGGGAUGCCACUGAAAURAAAAUAAGUAGAAUGUAGAAAGACGCGAUCUAUUGUAGAAGCAUUCGUUAUCUAUAGUAUUAAAUAUGUUUGGUAAUACAGACCUUUGUAACAAAGCUUGUUUGCUUCCAGUGCUUGCUUGCUUACUUGCAAAUUUGGCAAAUAAAUUAUAUAUCCUGUGUAAACGUAUUACUUUGUUAGUUGUGCGACAAUAAAAGUAUACCUUGAUAAACA